UACGUAGGGUGCAAGCGUUGUCCGGAAUUAUUGGGCGUAAAGAGCUCGUAGGCGGCUUGUCGCGUCUGCUGUGAAAACGCGAGGCUCAACCUCGCGCCUGCAGUGGGUACGGGCAGACUAGAGUGUGGUAGGGGGAGAUUGGAAUUCCUGGUGUAGCGGUGGAAUGCGCAGAUAUCAGGAGGAACACCGAUGGCGAAGGCAGAUCUCUGGGCCAUUACUGACGCUGAGGAGCGAAAGCGUGGGGGAGCGAACAGG
rnacentral:rRNA from 1 species